rnacentral:rRNA from 1 species
GCUGACGAGCGGCGGACGGCUGAGUAACGCGUGGGAACAUACCCCAAAACUGAGGGAUAACGCACCGAAAGGUGUGCUAAUACCGCAUAUGAUCUUCGGAUUAAAGCUUCGGCGGUUUGGGAAUGGCCUGCGUACGAUUAGAUAGUUGGUGAGGUAAUGGCUCACCAAGUCGACGAUCCGUUAGAUGGGUUUGAGAGGAUGGAUCAUCCAGACUGGGACUGAGACACGGCCCAGACUCCUACGGGAGGCAGCAGUAGGGAAUCUUUCACAAUGGGCGAAAGCCUGAUGGAGCAACGCCGCGUGCAGGAUGAAGGCCUCGGGUUGUAAACUGCUUUUAUAAGCGAGAAAUAUGAUGGUAACUUAUGAAUAAGGAUCGGCUAACUACGUGCC